rnacentral:lncRNA from 1 species
AAGGAAAAAAAUCUCAUUUUGUUUAGAUCAAUGCAUGAAAAGCUUGAAAAAAAAUAAGAAACUAAGCUUAAUUACCUCAAGUAGUGAGGUAAAAGGUGAUGGCUCUACGUGUGUGGUGGGAUAGAGGUAUGGUUUUUGUGCUAAAUUGUUUUCUUUGGCUUAGGAUUUUUUUGUUUUGCUUUAGAAAUUUUAUUGUUUAGGAAACUAUAUUUGUUUAUUUAACUAUUCAAUUAUUUAGUUAUUUUUUAUUUUAUGUUAAGAAAAUUCAAACUCGUUCCCCUUGCUUUCUUUUCAAUAAUCACCUCGCAUUUUUUAUCAAUCACUCAAUUUCAAAUUUCAUCUCCAUCCUCUCUCGAUGAAGAACGCACAAAGAAUUUCAGCUUGCUUUGGCCUAAUUUGCUUCUGAAAUUUCAGGCAUUGUUUCCUUUAAUUUUGAUAAUUUUUUUCUACUUCUCUCUUUUUGGUUUUUGAUAAUUUUAGGGUUAUAGUUGAAUUAUUUGCAUUUUUAAACAAUCUAGGGUUGAUUUAAUUGAUUCGAAGUGUCGUAUCUGGUCUGCUAUUUGAAUGCACAUUACUUGUUUGAUGAAAUGUCUCUUUAAAAGAUUAUUUUUGUUUUUAACAAGCAUCUUAUUGAGAUGUUUCUCGUAAUAAUAUUAACAUAAUGCACUUAGCUUCAAUUUGGUCUGUUUAAUACAUUUUAACAAAGGAAAAUUACAGAACUACAACAAUUUUCAAAUUGCUUGCAUAUUAGAAGUAAUGUUAUUGAUUUUUAUUAAUUAAUGAGAUUUUUAUUUACUGAGUCUGUACACUCACUCUAAGAAGUGAAGUGAUUAUUGCUUCAAUUUGGUAUGUUUCAUAUAUUUUCAUUCUCAUUAUAUAUGACAGUCAUCUCUCAUUUUUUCAUCAAUCACUCAAUUUCAACUUUCAUCUCCAUUCUCUCUCUCGAAGAACCCACGAAGAAGUUCAGCUUGCUUCAGCUUCAUUUGCUUCUUGAAUUUCAGGUAUUUUUUCUUUUCAUUUUGAUUAUUAUUUUUAAUUCUCUUUUUCUAGUUUGAUAAUUUUAGUGUUAUACUUGAAUUAAUUGUAUUUUUAAUUGAUACUAAGUCUUAUAUAUGUUCUCGUUCAACAAACAAAGAACGCACAAAUAAUUUUCACUUUCAUUCUCAAUUUUGAAAGAAUCAAUUUAUUUUAUUUAUAACAUCUAUUAGAUUCUUGACAAACAAUCAUAGAGAUGCAGUAGUAGAAACUAUAUUAGACACACUCUAGUUGCUUAAUUAGUAAAAUUGUGAUCUCAUUGCCUUAUUUUUUGGGGUUAAUUCUAUAAUUUUAUCAGUUGUUCUUGUGGUUGCAAACAAUAUCAUUUUUUAAUAUUAAUAAAACUAAAUGAAUAUUAUGUGAUGCAUUUGCAGGAAAGUUAAUAAUUUAAAUAUGGAUAAAUCUUAGAUGUUGAUGGAUAGAAGGUCUAUAGAAUAUGAAAAUGGGGUAAAUGAGUUUCUCAAGUUUGCAAUACUUCAGCCACUCGGCCUUUGGCCGAGUGGUGAGAGCUGCUGCUCUCCAACUUGGAGAGCAGCAGUUCGAACCCCCUGAGAGCUGCUGCUCUCCAACUGGGAGAGCAGCAGUUCGAACCCCUGCAAUGUAUGUGGGGGUGUUUCCUUCCUCAAAUAAAAUUGAGUAAAGGCAGUCUGCUUCCUUGCCCCAGUGCGAGGAGUAGACAUCCCUCGAAUAUUUGAGAGGGUUAAAAUCUGGGCAGCGCUCCAUUAGAUUUGAUGUAUGUUGGUCCCAGUUAUAGUCUGAUUUGUACAUAUCAGUUAUAUUCUCAUGUAAUAUGAGUUGUAAUCUGAGCAAUAGUCUCAUGUAAUAAAAAAAAAAAAAGUUUGCAAUACUUCAUGCUAGUAAUCCUGAACUUUUAAGCUGUCCAUGCCAAGCAUGUGGUAAUUUGGUCUUUCAUGUACCUGCUGAGAUAAGAAAUCAUCUUUAUUGGAAAGGUAUUGACCAAAGCUAUUAGACAUGGACUUGGCAUGGAGAAGGAGCUUCUAGUAGAUGACCAUUAAAGCUUCAUUUGAUGGCAGUCAACAAGAUGAUGAAGCUGCUGAUACAGUAGAAAUGGUUAAUGAUGCAUUUGACACUUGUAAUGGUGACCCUAAGUCUUUCGAAACUCUACUUAAAGAUGCUGAAAAACCUUUGUUUCCUGGCUGUGUGAAAUUCACUAAGUUAUCUGCCUUAAUAAAACUUUACAACAUUAAAGGAAGAAAUGGAUGGUCAGACAAAAGUUUUUCAAAUUUACUAAGUUGUUUAUCAUAUAUGCUUCCUGAUAAAAAUGAAAUACCUUUAUCCAUAUAUGAAGCAAAGAAGAUUAUGGUUGCAUUAGGCUUAGAAUAUGAAAAAUACAUGCAUUUCCCAACGAUUGCAUUCUAUAUAGAAAUAUCUUUAUUUUGUUGCUUUAAAUAUCUUUAUUUAUUUACUUAGUUUUUACUUUUUAAUUAGUAUUUUUUUUCUAACUCUUUAUUCAUUUGUUAAUAGUUGUCAUUGGAUCUUGCUUGUGAUCGACUUGCCCUCAAUGGUUGUUCAUUAUUUGAAUUCAGUGAGAAAUGAAAUCAUUGUUGAUAUAAAAAAAAUUGCAACUGUGUAAGUAUAUUAAAGAUC